rnacentral:rRNA from 1 species
ACGCUGGCGGCAUGCCUUACACAUGCAAGUCGAACGGCAGCACGGAGCCUGCUCUGGUGGCGAGUGGCGAACGGGUGAGUAAUAUAUCGGAACGUACCCUAGAGUGGGGGAUAACGUAGCGAAAGUUACGCUAAUACCGCAUACGAUCUAAGGAUGAAAGUGGGGGAUCGCAAGACCUCAUGCUCGUGGAGCGGCCGAUAUCUGAUUAGCUAGUUGGUAGGGUAAAAGCCUACCAAGGCAUCGAUCAGUAGCUGGUCUGAGAGGACGACCAGCCACACUGGAACUGAGACACGGUCCAGACUCCUACGGGAGGCAGCAGUGGGGAAUUUUGGACAAUGGGCGAAAGCCUGAUCCAGCAAUGCCGCGUGAGUGAAGAAGGCCUUCGGGUUGUAAAGCUCUUUUGUCAGGGAAGAAACGGUGAGAGCUAAUAUCUCUUGCUAAUGACGGUACCUGAAGAAUAAGCACCGGCUAACUACGUGCCAGCAGCCGCGGUAAUACGUAGGGUGCAAGCGUUAAUCGGAAUUACUGGGCGUAAAGCGUGCGCAGGCGGUUUUGUAAGUCUGAUGUGAAAUCCCCGGGCUCAACCUGGGAAUUGCAUUGGAGACUGCAAGGCUAGAAUCUGGCAGAGGGGGGUAGAAUUCCACGUGUAGCAGUGAAAUGCGUAGAUAUGUGGAGGAACACCGAUGGCGAAGGCAGCCCCCUGGGUCAAGAUUGACGCUCAUGCACGAAAGCGUGGGGAGCAAAC